rfam:Picea glauca, whole genome shotgun sequence.
GUCUCUUCAGAUACAUCAGAUAAAAUUGGAAUGAUACAAAGAAGAUUAACAUGGCUCAUGUGCAAGUACAACACGCACAAAUCGAGAAAUGGUCCAAAUUUUU